rnacentral:lncRNA from 1 species
GUUGGUCAGACAUGAAAUGUGCUAACCUAAAUCAGAUUAGUUAUUACAUCAGACAUAUGUGACUAAUUAGAAGAUACCUAAACCCAAAUCUCCUCACUGAAUAUUAAGUCUACUUGUCUUCCACCGUUGUAGAGAUGCGGGUGCCUUUUCUGACAUUGAUCGUUCUCGACUGGUUACAGUAGUUCGAUUGCAUCGAAAAGUUAUAACCACUUUAUUGG